rnacentral:rRNA from 1 species
UACGUAGGGUGCAAGCGUUGUCCGGAAUUAUUGGGCGUAAAGGGCUCGUAGGCGGUCCAUCACGUCGGGAGUGAAAAGCUGGGGCUUAACCCCAGUCCUGCUUCCGAUACGGGUGGACUAGAGGUAGGCAGGGGGAGAACGGAAUUCCCUGGUGUAGCGGUGAAAUGCGCAGAUAUCAGGAGGAACACCGGUGGCGAAGGCGGUUCUCUGGGCCUUACCUGACGCUGAGGAGCGAAAGCGUGGGAGCAAACAGG